AAAUUGAAGAGUUUGAUCAUGGCUCAGAUUGAACGCUGGCGGCAGGCCUAACACAUGCAAGUCGAACGGUAACAGGAAGCAGCUUGCUGCUUCGCUGACGAGUGGCGGACGGGUGAGUAAUGUCUGGGAAACUGCCUGAUGGAGGGGGAUAACUACUGGAAACGGUGGCUAAUACCGCAUAACGUCGCAAGACCAAAGAGGGGGACCUUCGGGCCUCUUGCCAUCAGAUGUGCCCAGAUGGGAUUAGCUUGUUGGUGAGGUAACGGCUCACCAAGGCGACGAUCCCUAGCUGGUCUGAGAGGAUGACCAGCCACACUGGAACUGAGACACGGUCCAGACUCCUACGGGAGGCAGCAGUGGGGAAUAUUGCACAAUGGGCGCAAGCCUGAUGCAGCCAUGCCGCGUGUAUGAAGAAGGCCUUCGGGUUGUAAAGUACUUUCAGCGGGGAGGAAGGUGUUGUGGUUAAUAACCGCAGCAAUUGACGUUACCCGCAGAAGAAGCACCGGCUAACUCCGUGCCAGCAGCCGCGGUAAUACGGAGGGUGCAAGCGUUAAUCGGAAUUACUGGGCGUAAAGCGCACGCAGGCGGUCUGUCAAGUCGGAUGUGAAAUCCCCGGGCUCAACCUGGGAACUGCAUUCGAAACUGGCAGGCUUGAGUCUUGUAGAGGGGGGUAGAAUUCCAGGUGUAGCGGUGAAAUGCGUAGAGAUCUGGAGGAAUACCGGUGGCGAAGGCGGCCCCCUGGACAAAGACUGACGCUCAGGUGCGAAAGCGUGGGGAGCAAACAGGAUUAGAUACCCUGGUAGUCCACGCCGUAAACGAUGUCUACUUGGAGGUUGUGCCCUUGAGGCGUGGCUUCCGGAGCUAACGCGUUAAGUAGACCGCCUGGGGAGUACGGCCGCAAGGUUAAAACUCAAAUGAAUUGACGGGGGCCCGCACAAGCGGUGGAGCAUGUGGUUUAAUUCGAUGCAACGCGAAGAACCUUACCUGGUCUUGACAUCCACAGAAGAAUCCAGAGAUGGAUUUGUGCCUUCGGGAACUGUGAGACAGGUGCUGCAUGGCUGUCGUCAGCUCGUGUUGUGAAAUGUUGGGUUAAGUCCCGCAACGAGCGCAACCCUUAUCCUUUGUUGCCAGCGGUUAGGCCGGGAACUCAAAGGAGACUGCCAGUGAUAAACUGGAGGAAGGUGGGGAUGACGUCAAGUCAUCAUGGCCCUUACGACCAGGGCUACACACGUGCUACAAUGGCGCAUACAAAGAGAAGCGACCUCGCGAGAGCAAGCGGACCUCAUAAAGUGCGUCGUAGUCCGGAUUGGAGUCUGCAACUCGACUCCAUGAAGUCGGAAUCGCUAGUAAUCGUGGAUCAGAAUGCCACGGUGAAUACGUUCCCGGGCCUUGUACACACCGCCCGUCACACCAUGGGAGUGGGUUGCAAAAGAAGUAGGUAGCUUAACCUUCGGGAGGGCGCUUACCACUUUGUGAUUCAUGACUGGGGUGAAGUCGUAACAAGGUAACCGUAGGGGAACCUGCGGUUGGAUCACCUCCUUACCUGAAAGAAGC
rnacentral:rRNA from 1 species